rnacentral:piRNA from 1 species
CUGUCGUGAGUGGCACACGUAGG